rnacentral:lncRNA from 10 species
CUCGAAACUACAUUUCCCAUGACGCAGUGAGAAUUUAAAACCAAAACAAUUGGACAGCACUUGUUUUGACAACUGUGCGGCACUGUGCCACGGGACCCUGGUCUUUGAAACCUUGGCGUGCGCGAGAAUUUCCCAGUAUGACAGAGCCAAAACUCCAAGUCAUGUCAGUAGGGCAUGCCCAAUAGAAAAUGCUUUGACAUCUAACAACACCCAGAACCAAUGAUUCCUCCCUGUGGUACCAAGAAGACCUAGACAUGAUCGGAACCUAAAUGCUGGAACUCUUUCAGGAGCAAAGGGUCUGUUGACCAGAAAGAUCCAGGGGUAAAAUCCACCUCAACAUACCCGUGUAGUCAAAUUUGACACCCUCCAAUCAGACCCUGCCAAGCCAAAAUUCCUAAUACGUUUCCUUGCCAUCUGUAUUAGUCUGUUUUCACGCUGCUGACAAAGACAUACCUGAGACUGGACAAUUUACAAAAGAGGUUUAAUUGGACUUACAGUUCCACGUGGCUGGGGAAACCUCACAAUCAUGGCAGAAGGCAAGGAGGAGCAAGUCACAUCUUACAUGGAUGGCAGCAGGCAAAAACAAAGAGCUUGUACAGGGAAACUCCUGUUUCUCAAAACCAUCAGACCUCAUGAGACUUAUUCACUAUCACAAGAACAGCACAAGAAAGACCUGCCCCUAUGAUUCAAUUAUCUCCCACUGGGUCCCUCCCACAACAUGUGAGAAUUCAAGAUGAGAUUUGGGUGGGGACACAGCCAAACCAUAUCACCCUCUGACCCCUUAAAUCUUGCCCCAGACCCCAAAUUAGGAGACAGAUGUGAGCCAUGCCUCCAGUCUCCUUGCUGGGUGGCCCUGCAAUAAAGCCUUUCUGUUCUCAAAAGCUGGUACCAUAGUAUUGGCUUCUAUGUGCAUCAGGCAGUGAGCCUAUUUGCUCAGAAACAAUACUAAAGCACCAUACUUUGGGGUAUCAUUCUCUGAGCCCCAACCAGGGGUCAUUCCUGAGGCCAUGAAUGAGGGAGAGAGUUUCUGGCUGAGGAAACUUGCCCGUAAGUCUUGCACCAUCUGGCCCAUGCUGACCAUCACAGUCUCACUUUAUCUUCUUUCCAGCCACAUUGGCCUUUCAGUUCCUCAAACAUACCCGCGCUGGCUGGUUUCAGAACUUCUGCCUGGAUCACUGUCCUCUCCCCCCUCCCUCUUCCCCCUCCUGUCUCAAACCCUCCAAUGUAAACUUCAGUCUCACCUUAAAUGUCACUUCCUCUGGAGCCCUUUUCAUGGUCCCUGGUUUAAAUUUAGUCCAUACAGCAAACUGUGAUUGUCCUCCAAACCACUUCAAAGAACUGUAAUCAUUUAAUUAUCUAUUUAUAAGUAUCUGAUGUCUGGGUUCUUCACUAGACUGUAAACUUCAUGAUGGCAGGAACCAUAAUUGUUCUGGUUACUCUUGCUCUCAAGAGUGUAAGAGUGCCACAUUGUGCCUGGCACAUAGCAGGAACUUUAUGAUGAUUGUUGGUUGGAAGACAGGUUGCCUGACAGGCCAGUCAUCUCAACUACU